GACGAACGCUGGCGGCACGCCUAAUACAUGCAAGUAGGACGCAGUUGCGAACGGGUGAGUAACGCGUAGGUAACUGCCUAUUAGAGGGGGAUAACUAUUGGAAACGAUAGCUAAUACCGCAUACUAGUAGAUGGAACUGCGUUGUAUUGGCUUGUAGGUAGGGUAAUGGCCUACCUAGGCAACGAUACAUAGCCGACCUGGAGGGGGUAUCGGACAAACUGGGACUGAGACACGGCCCAGACUCCGACGGGAGGCAGCAGUAGGGAAUCUGCGGCAAUGGGGGGAACCCUGAACGAGCAACGGCGCGUGAGUGAAGAAGGUUUUCGGAUCAUAAAGCUCUGUUGUUAAGGAAGCGGUACUUAACGAAAAAGGGACGGCUAACUACGUGCCAGCAGCCGCGGUAAUAC
rnacentral:rRNA from 1 species